rnacentral:misc_RNA from 1 species
GAGAAACUUUCCACUUUUCCAAUGAAAGCAUAAUAACGUUGACAAACUUUCAAAAAAUUGGCAUAGAUGUCGUAAAUUGCAAUUAAAAAAAAUGAAAUGACAUAAGCAAUGAGGUGCUGGAGCUAUCUCUAAAAUUGUAAGGUUUUAGCAUUACCUUAAAGCAGCAUCACCAAACUGUUUAGCAUGUGAAUCUUUCCCAAACAAAGGGUCAAAGGAUGCAAAUAUAUUUCCUGCUUCUCUAUGGGCGUCAACCAUUCAACUCUUGGAACCAUUGUCACGACUUGAGAUAUCUUUAAAUAUAGAUCCAAAGCCCACAAAUUUUCUGCUCAUGUAAGGCUCUGAAAAAGAGUUACAUUCAUGGCUUAUCAUCUAGAAUGUAAACUUACAGAUUCUAAAUCAGGAAUUUCAACUGUAGUUGCCCCAUAUAGUCUGACAAGAAUUGUUGACGCAUAAACAACAGUAUUAUCUGCCGUACACUGGUUCACUACAAACUCAUUAAGAUAUACAAUCAGAUGAUAAUUGUUCCUUCUCAUAAUGCAUCGCGGGCAGCUAUUCGGCAUGUAAUGGCAUCUGCAAGAGUGGAUAUCCCUGCUUCCAGACCAGAAAUUUUGUAGUGCUUUUGUAUUUGAGCUUGGUUUGCUCUUCCCUCCAAUUCUUCCAAAUCGAUUUCUUUUCCAUUGAUGAGUUUCUCUACAGCUUUCAUCUCAUCUAAAGAAGCAUUGAAACGAGCUGCAAGGAUGUAUGUAGAGGUUUCAGAGAUUCCACAUCUUUUCAAAGAUUCUGUAAUAUGUUUGGAUCCUGAGUAAUUAUAAACAAGUUCAGAAUGAAGGGUCCUUGUCGUCAAUGAAUCCCGAGACUUUGCUAUAAGCGUCUUAUGUGCUGCAGCAAGAACGGGGAACACAUCUGGGAUCUAUCACACAGUAGUUAAUAGAAGCACAUUAGAAAGACUUUUAAAAAGUUUGAUCCACAAGGCGGAUAGAACGUUGAUGGGAACAAGAAAUGAGGUCCACUAAUGUCUGUGCGUAAGCAAGCAUACAAGUGAGGCAUUGAGUAGAGCAACUUCAGGUUCUAGUGUUCCAGCCUGCAUGGAAUCCAGCAGUUCCCUGCACAACAGCAAAGCAACUUAGGAGUUUAAGAGUCCACAUGAGGUUCUUCAUUCCCUCACUAAUUUCUUCUUGGAGCACUUUUUAGCAUGUUGGCAGCUUUUAAAUACUAACUAUUGAAAUGCACAUGAAACUGUCUCUAAACCUUAGGCAAAGCUUUAAACCUUGUUCCAUAACACUAAUAACUUUUCUUUUUCUAAAUAUAAUAUAAGUUGUUAUAUUGUAUAAAAAUACCGGAUUUUUUUUGGAAAACAAAAAGGAGAAGGGAGAGAGAGAAACGGAGAGGUUGCCAAAGAAACCACAGAGGAUAUGAAGAUUACACUCAGUUACUACUAAGUAUUGAGGAUGAAAAUGGAAUUUGCCAAAAGGAAUUCACUGAAGGUGAGAGCAACUGUUUUGCACACUCAAAUUUGGGAGCUUUAGUUCUUAAGAUUGAAGAAAGGCUUAAACUUUGGCAUCUAAGAAUCAACUGGUGAACAAUGCCUAACAGUGGUAAUAGUAACUGGGUUCAGCCUAGUGACUAACAAUUUAAAAUGUUAAUUGCCAAAUGUCAAUUAAAGAAAAAUACACAUUAAACUCCAAUUCCAGAAUAUGUUUACAUUUAAACUAGACUAAGUUCAAGUCAUGACUAGCCAGUUUCUUUGCAUAUCAUCCCAACCACUUUGGACAAUAAGAGCACCUAAUGAAGAAUUUCACAUUCAAGCUUCCAAGGGCCAAUACAAUAAAAUGAAUAAAAAACCUCUAGAAAUCAUAACUUUUCCAUUACACCCAAUAUCCAUUUCAAUUAAGUUCCUACGGAAAUUAAAACAGUAAAACUUCAAGAUCUCCAAUUAGAUUAUAUUCUCUGUUUGGCCAGCAACUGUCUACCUUAAGCUAUAUUUACCCCAAGAAUUCUCGUCUGAACUAUCAAAAACUUUUAAUUUAAAACCAAGAAUUUUUCCCAUUAAGGAUUCACACAACUAAACUGAUCGUACAAUAACCAGACAAUUGUGCAAUAAUAUCCAUAUUUGGAAGAAAAAAUGAAAAUAAUAGGCAAAAGAAAGUAGAUAGAGAGAGUUA